CUUAGUUAAUUAAUAUCAGCCUUCUAUAUGCGGGAAAGCCGGCUUUGCCACCCAAAAAUAUGCUUUUUGAGAUAUUGAUUAUUUUAACCUGGUUAUUUUUCAGAAACAAAAGACUCAGAAAGAAGAUUUGACCUGCCCUCUAACUGCAUCUAAGAAUUCAGAUGGAAGACCUGCUUCAGGAAGGCAGGUAUCUUCCAAGGUUCAUCGUGUACUAUUUUGCAACAUUCAAUUGAAUUUUGAGAACCAUGAGGCCUACUUUUUGUAGGCAGAGUGAUUUCUUUGGAACACCUUUUAAUUGUAUAU